rnacentral:rRNA from 1 species
CCUACGGGAGGCAGCAGUGGGGAAUCUUGCGCAAUGGGCGAAAGCCUGACGCAGCGACGCCGCGUGCGGGAAGAAGGCUUUCGGGCUGUAAACCGCUUUCAGCAGGAACGAAAAUGACGGUACCUGCAGAAGAAGGAGCGGCCAACUAUGUGCCAGCAGCCGCGGUGAUACAUAGGCUUCAAGCGUUGUCCGGAUUUAUUGGGCGUAAAGAGUUCGUAGGCGGUCAAGUAAGUCGGGUGUGAAAAUUCUGGGCUCAACCCAGAGACGCCACCCGAUACUGCUUAACUUGAGUUCGAUAGGGGAGUGGGGAAUUCCUAGUGUAGCGGUGAAAUGCGCAGAUAUUAGGAGGAACACCGGUGGCGAAGGCGCCACUCUGGAUCGAUACUGACGCUGAGGAACGAAAGCAUGGGUAGCAAACAGGAUUAGAUACCCUGGUAGUCCAUGCCGUAAACGGUGGGCACUAGGUGUGGGUUUCUAUUACGAAAUCCGCGCCGUCGCUAACGCAUUAAGUGCCCCGCCUGGGGGUAGGUACGGUCGCGAGACGUAAACUACAANAGAAGUUAAGUACGGCGUUGAGACGUUGCCGAACGGCGACGACGAGGGAGGUUAGG